GACGAACGCUGGCGGCGUGCCUAAUACAUGCAAGUCGAACGCAGUGGGGACGGGUGAGUAACACGUGGGUAACCUCCCAUCAGAGGGGAUAACACUUGGAAACAGGUGCUAAACCGAUACUGAUGGAUGGACCCGCGGUGCAUUAGCUAGUUGGUGAGGUAACGGCUCACCAAGGCCACGAUGCAUAGCCGACCUGAGAGGGUGAUCGGCCACACUGGGACUGAGACACGGCCCAGACUCCUACGGGAGGCAGCAGUAGGGAAUAUUCGACAAUGGACGAAAGUCUGACCGAGCCACGCCGCGUGUGUGAAGAAGGUCUUCGGGUCGUAAAGCUCUGUUGUUAGAGAAGCGUUACCGAACCAUAAAGCCACGGCUAACUACGUGCCAGCAGCCGCGGUAAUUC
rnacentral:rRNA from 1 species